rnacentral:lncRNA from 1 species
GGUAAAAUCAGGACAUUCUGAUUAUUCAACAUUGGUAAAAUCAGGACAUUCUGAUUAUUCAACAUUGGUAAAAUCAGGACAGCAAUAGACGUCCCAAAAUAAUUACUCCUAUAUCUGUGUCAUUUCCUGUUGAGCAUGAGGACUACUCAGAGCCAUCUGUAGUAUAGGCAGUAUAGUAUACAUCUGUAUGUGGCAGUAUAUAUAGGCAGUAUAGUAUACAUCUGUAUGUGGCAGUAUAUAUAGGCGGUAUAGUAUACAUCUGUAUGUGGCAGUAUAUAUAGGCAGUAUAGUAUAAAUCUGCGGCAGUAUAUACUUGGUUCUGGGCCUACCAGCUGUGGGUUUACUUAGUGGUGU